AAUGUAUUUAGUGUGGCUGUUUAUUCCGGGUUUGAUUUCGUGUCUGUCUAAUUGCUGCUGUCACAUUUCAUUUGAAACAUUAUGCUGGAAUUUGUUUGUAUAUAAAUUGUUAUAGGACCAGUUUGAUUGUUAUCCCGUAAGAGCUUUCAUGCCGACUUAAUAUGAUGGGUCGAUACAUGUGUUGUAAAUUGCAUUUGACGGUCAUCAAUCGGGAGCCAAAGGCAUUUUGUUUGUAUUUAGUUUAGAGGCUGCAUUUUAUAUGCUGAUAUAUACUGAUAUGUCCAUAAAUAUAUGCAUAUUGGUUUGCCAAUGUUUAGCAGUGUUUGGUUUAAUGUGUUUUACACAACAUAUUAUUAUUGGCUCAUGAGCAUUGUGGGUAGUAAACCGCCUCUUAAUCAAGUUGGGCAAAUUCCUGUGAUUUAUUUUCUUUCAUUCAAACGUUGAUAUCAUUAGUAUUAAUUGUCACUUCAUUUCCAUUAAUUAUCGUAGCAUUGCUUGUUCUAAAUUGAUAUGGAUUAGUUCACAGUAUAGUCAUCUUGUCAAUUACAUGGUUGUUUUGAUUAUCACAAGAUAAAUUACAUUA
rnacentral:lncRNA from 1 species